AUUGAACGCUGGCGGCAGGCCUAACACAUGCAAGUCGAGCGGAUGAAGGGAGCUUGCUCCUGGAUUCAGCGGCGGACGGGUGAGUAAUGCCUAGGAAUCUGCCUGGAAGUGGGGGAUAACGUCCGGAAACGGGCGCUAAUACCGCAUACGUCCUGAGGGAGAAAGUGGGGGAUCUUCGGACCUCACGCUAUCAGAUGAGCCUAGGUCGGAUUAGCUAGUUGGUGGGGUAAAGGCCUACCAAGGCGACGAUCCGUAACUGGUCUGAGAGGAUGAUCAGUCACACUGGAACUGAGACACGGUCCAGACUCCUACGGGAGGCAGCAGUGGGGAAUAUUGGACAAUGGGCGAAAGCCUGAUCCAGCCAUGCCGCGUGUGUGAAGAAGGUCUUCGGAUUGUAAAGCACUUUAAGUUGGGGGGAAGGGCAGUAAGUUAAUACCUUGCUGUUUUGACGUUACCAACAGAAUAAGCACCGGCUAACUUCGUG
rnacentral:rRNA from 1 species